UACGAAGGGGGCUAGCGUUGCUCGGAAUCACUGGGCGUAAAGGGUGCGUAGGCGGGUCUUUAAGUCAGGGGUGAAAUCCUGGAGCUCAACUCCAGAACUGCCUUUGAUACUGAGGAUCUUGAGUUCGGGAAAGGUGAGUGGAACUGCGAGUGUAGAGGUGAAAUUCGUAGAUAUUCGCAAGAACACCGGUGGCGAAGGCGGCCAUCUGGACGACUACUGACGCUGAGACGCGAAAAGCGUGGGGAGCAAACAGGG
rnacentral:rRNA from 1 species